GGGCUUGACAUCCCACGAACCUGUCCGAAAAGGUGGGGUGCCCGCAAGGGAGCGUGGAGACAGGUGGUGCAUGGCUGUCGUCAGCUCGUGUCGUGAGAUGUUGGGUUAAGUCCUGCAACGAGCGCAACCCUCACCCCUAGUUGCCACCGGGUUAAGCCGAGCACUCAAGGGGAACUGCCAGCGUCAAGCUGGAGGAAGGCGGGGAUGACGUCAAGUCAUCAUGCCCCUUACGCCCUGGGCUACACACGUGCUACAAUGGCCAGCACAAAGGGACGCGAGACUGCGAAGUGGAGCUAAUCCCAAAAAGCUGGUCUAAGUUCAGAUUGCAGUCUGCAACUCGACUGCAUGAAGGAGGAAUCGCUAGUAAUCGCGCAUCAGCCCGGCGCGGUGAAUACGUUCCCGGGCCUUGUACACACCGCCCGUCACACCACGAAAGCUGUCUGUACUCGAAGUCGCUGAG
rnacentral:rRNA from 1 species